rnacentral:lncRNA from 1 species
CUGAUCUUUAAGGACGAGGGGGGCGAGCGGUCGUACUCCUCGACGAGGUUCACGAGGUCCUCGUCGGAGGUGAUCGAGAUCAGGGCGUCGAGAUCCUCUGUCGGAAGCUGACACCGGAGCGACACGGCGGCGCCGCACAGUUCCCCCAUCUUCGACAUCAGUUCUGUUAACCAAAACAACCUCAUUCUAAAUCACAUCCCAUCAUUUUCAUCGGAAACGCGCACGCAAAUCCGAAUUCCGAGGAACCGACACCGAAUCCCGCAGGGAAUCAAAAACCCAAAAACCCAAAAAACCCUAAAUCAGCAUCGCCACCACAAUCCGCUCGAAUCGAAAAUCCAGAAAGCACGACGACAUGCGCUCAACCGACACUGUUGAUGGAAACACGAAUAGAAAACGGACGCGACGCACACGAUCGGGCAUGGAUUCGAUAGUAACGGAACUGACCGGA